rnacentral:rRNA from 1 species
CAGCAGCCACGGGAAUACAGAGGGUGCGAGCGUUAAUUGGAUUUACUGGGCGUAAAGCGUGCGUAGGCGGCUUUUUAAGUCGGAUGUGAAAUCCCUGAGCUUAACUUAGGAAUUGCAUUCGAUACUGGGAAGCUAGAGUAUGGGAGAGGAUGGUAGAAUUCCAGGUGUAGCGGUGAAAUGCGUAGAGAUCUGGAGGAAUACCGAUGGCGAAGGCAGCCAUCUGGCCUAAUACUGACGCUGAGGUACGAAAGCAUGGGGAGCAAACAGGAUUAGAUACCCGCGUAGUCCCUGUCUCUUAUAC